UUUUUUUCCCCAAGGCAAACACACAACUUUUAUUUAUGAUGUGUACUUAGAUCAUGUGAGCAUAUAAACGCUCUAUUAAACAACAGGGAUAGGUUGAUUCCAACCUUGUUUUUAAUGGCAAUGAGAGCACAGAUCUCCUAGCUCCAGUCUUUUCCCUGUAACUUUGGGUACUUCAUAUGUUUCACAUUUGAAGUAAAAUGAUGCUUCAUUUGUAAUUUAAUGGAGUAGGAAAAGAAACAUGCUCAAACAUUCUUUGUACUUUGCCAAGUUUACAUUGGAUCUGCAAGGUCACCUCGUUCUAAAUUUACUCAGCUGAGUGGAAAUAAGCAUUUAGUUAGCACCAGAUGCUUUGAAAAACGAUUUGAUCUGAUUCAUUUGUAUAAAAGAGCAUUCGUGUUAAAUGAUGACACAAAGUUUAAUUGUGUCAUUUGAAGUAUUCUUUGCAUUGUUACUCUUUGAAAUCAGAUGUUUAAAAGGCUAUACAGUGUUUGCUCUAUGGCAUUGUAAUCAGUGUGAAUUGUGAAAAACUUUAAAACCAGCUAGAGUAGGUUAGAAAGGUGUACAGAGCCCAGCUGCCUGUAACAUUGCUUUCUUAGAACAUUUUCUACUCAAUAUUCUCUAUAUUAGGUGUGCCAGAGGGCCAUACACAUGCCACAAAUCGUGAAUAUCCUUGCUUAAAUAAAAGUAAGUUAAUGAGAUUCAGUUAUUUAUGUUGCUUAAGUAGUAUUUAAUGAAAGUGAUACUCUAACCCAGGGUUUCCCAAAGUGUGGGUCGCGACACACUGUUGGGUUCCCAGCUGAUUUUUGGUGGGUUGCGAUGACCCACACAUCCCUGGCCGCCGGGGACUCAGGAGCAACCUCGCCCAAUCAUAGAGUGUUGCCACGGGUUACAGCAGCAACGCUCUGAGACUUGGCGAGUCAAGCUCGAAAGACUAUGUCUGCAUGGUCUGCAGUUGGUGGAGGUGGAGCUGCAGACCGGACAGCAAGAGCCACCGGACAACCAGGGAGGAAGGAAG